UACGUAGGGGGCAAGCGUUGUCCGGAUUUAUUGGGCGUAAAGAGCGUGUAGGCGGCUAGAUAGGUCCGUUGUGAAAACUCGAGGCUCAACCUCGAGACGUCGAUGGAAACCAUCUGGCUAGAGUCCGGAAGAGGAGAGUGGAAUUCCUGGUGUAGCGGUGAAAUGCGCAGAUAUCAGGAAGAACACCCGUGGCGAAGGCGGCUCUCUGGUACGUGACUGACGCUGAGGUGCGAAAGCGUGGGGAGCAAACAGG
rnacentral:rRNA from 1 species